rnacentral:rRNA from 1 species
GACGAACCGUGCGAACGUUGUUCGGAUUCACUGGGCUUAAAGGGCGCGUAGGCGGGUGGCCAAGUCGGGGGUGAAAUCCUUCAGCUUAACUGAAGAACAGCCUUCGAUACUGGUCGUCUGGAGGGGGGUAGGGGCAGACGGAACUUCCGGUGGAGCGGUGAAAUGCGUAGAUAUCGGAAGGAACGCCGGCGGCGAAGGCGAUCACCUGGGGUUGUUCUGACGCUGAGGAGCGAAAGCUAGGGGAGCAAACAGG